rnacentral:rRNA from 1 species
AUUGAACGCUGGCGGCAGGCCUAACACAUGCAAGUCGAACGAGUGGCGGACGGGUGAGUAAUGUCUGGGAAACUGCCUGAUGGAGGGGGAUAACUAGUGGAAACGGUAGCUACUACCGCAUACCAUCAGAUGUGCCCAGAUGGGAUUAGCUGGUGGGUGGGGUAACGGCUCACCAAGGCGACGAUGCCUAGCUGGUCUGAGAGGAUGACCAGCCACACUGGAACUGAGACACGGUCCAGACUCCUACGGGAGGCAGCAGUGGGGAAUAUUGCACAAUGGGCGAAAGUCUGAUGCAGCCAUGCCGCGUGUAUGAAGAAGGUCUUCGGGUUGUAAAGUACUUUCAGUGGGGAGGCGUUACCCGAAGAAGAAGCACCGGCUAACUCCGUGCCAGCAGCCGCGGUAAUAC